rnacentral:rRNA from 1 species
UGGGGAAUCUUGCGCAAUGGUCGAAAGGCUGACGCAGCGACGCCGCGUGGAGGACGAAGGCCUUCGGGUUGUAAACUCCUUUUCUGGGGGACGAAUAAGGUAAGUAGGUAAUGGCUUACCGAUGACGGUACCCCAGGAACAAGCGCCGGCUAACUUCGUGCCAGCAGCCGCGGUAAGACGAAGGGCGCAAGCGUUAUCCGGAAUCACUGGGCGUAAAGGGCGUCUAGGCGGUCGGUCAAGUCGACCGUGAAAGUCCUCGGCUAAACUGAGGAAAGUCGGCCGAAACUGAUCGACUCGAGGAACGUAGAGGGAAGCGGAACUCUCGGAGUAGCGGUGAAAUGCGUAGAGACCGAGAGGUACCCCGAUGGUGAAGACAGCUUCCUGGGCGUUUCCUGACGCUGAAGCGCUAAGGCCAGGGGAGCGAAGG